AUGAUACAUUUUAAAGCCCAUAUCGCCCAUCCCUAUACUGGGCCCACAUUCACUUCCUCACUUUGUCAUAAAAAAUGGUCUGCUGUACUGUGUCGCCCACAGGCUGGGGGGAGGAAAAAGUGCUUCGUGCCAAAGACCAAGAUGGAGACCGUCAUGGAACUAGCACAUACCCAUCCGAUGGCGGGACACCUGGGAGCCGAAAACACAGUCCAGCGCAUCCGGGACCGUUUCCACUGGCCAGGCCCGGAUGCGGAAGUGAAACGGUUCUGCCGAAGCUGCCCUACCUGCCAGAAGAAGGCGCCCCAUCGACCGUGGCGCAAAGGAUGGGACGAUCCUUUGCCGUCUUCAGUUGCUGGAGAAUGGAUGGCUUGGCUGGAAGACCUUCAUGACCUUGAAAAUUGGAAGGAGCUACUGGCUGAACUGCAUCUAGAAGUAAUGGUUGAAUAUGUGAGGCAAAUGAUGAAGAGAAAAUGGAAACUAAAAAAGACAAAGAGCAGCAAGAAGCAGCUGCUGAGUUCAUCUGCUCUGUGUUUGCCAAAGUGGGAUCCAGAGAGGAAUGGCUCUGUCAAAUACUGCCCAAAUCAUCAGAGAUUCUGAGACUGUAGGAUCCUGGGAGUUUGCAACAUAGUAAGAGACUGUUUUAACAUUAUGUGUGUCUGUUAGAUAGCAACUGGCAAGAUGCAGAUGUUUAACCUAAGAGGCAGAUGCUAGGCCACAACCAAAACCAUGAUAUUUCACUCUUUGACAUUACUGACCAGAGCGGUAAUUUUUUUAUAAUUUUCAAAUGUCUUGUUUUUUUUCCCUUAUAAUAUUAUACAAAUACCAUUUUAGACAGUUCCAGUAUAGAUAGCAUUAGCAGAAUGAACAAUUGUUUUGAAUUUAGAGUUUAGAAUUUGAUGAUCAGUCUUAGGCUGAGUUUACACUUUUGCUACGGUUAUGCCAGUCAUUUACACUACUCCAGCAUUUUCAACCCUCAAAAACAGAGACUUUCAAAAAUGCUGCAGACCCCAUUUUAGUUUGAAAACUCUGGGGUUGCAUUUCAGUGUAAACGAACCAGAACUGAGACUUUUGAAACUGAUGCCGUGGCUGCCAACAUUCCCUCUGCGUAUCCUUGACGACCGUGUAAACAAUUACAUCAUGCUCGUUGUUGUACCUGCAUGAAUGGUCAUGUGACAAUCCAAACACUUGUCUGAUGUUAUGAAGUGAGUUUAGAGUAAAAACAUGCUAUUAAAUGUAGUAUUUAAAUCGUAACAUAUUUUUAUUUUUACAUUUUAUAUAUAUGUACAUACAUGUAUUUGAUAUACUUUAUAUACAUUUUAUUAUACUUGUUACAUGUUUUAGCAUAUAGAUAUUAACAGCGUUUACCUGAAUACUAAUUUUUUUCUAAAUAUGAGCAUUAGUCUUAACAUCUAUAAAUACCUGAUAUUAAAUAAGUUAAAUGUAUAGACAUGGAUCUCAUGCAUUAUAUGCAUUACUGGAAUUUGUCAGUAAGGUUUUAUACUUAUUUUUUUGAUGGAAAUUAAUACUUUUCUUCAGUAAGAAGACAUUAAAUUAAUCAAAAGUGACAUUUAUAUUUACAGUCUAUAUAUUGUAUUUUUUUUUUUUUCUGCCUAGAAUGGUGGUCAAGCUCGUCAUUUCACUGUGUAAUUGAAGCUGAAUCCGAUUUGUCUGGUUAUCUCCAGGCUAAAGGAAAUUAAAGCAUAUACAUAUACAUACAAAUACAUAAUGUGAAGCUAAUAAUGACUCUUUCAUACACACUAUUGUAUUUUAAAAAUAGAUCUAAAUAAAAGACCUAAACAAAACCUCCUUUCUCUGAUG
ensembl:lncRNA